UCCAAAUGUGUAAAAAUCUGUUGUGUUUCUUCUCUCAGCAGAAUGCACGGGCGGGUGAAACCCUCUGUAUUCCCUGGCCAUAAUAAAAGUGUGCUUUACAUAUUGUUUAAGGAUUUCUUUGAAUCAGUCUCUGUGUUUAAAAAUACAAAGGGCCCUUCGGUCUUUUUUUUUUUCCUGAGAUCCUUUACCCAAGACCUUUCUUUGAAUUUCAGGGACAGUUCUGUGUGCAGGGAUGGAUAGGAAAAGACUCCUGGCAUGGUAGAUCUUCCAGGAAGCGCCAAUACUUGGUCUUCCAGAGCUGCUCCCUUUAACUUCCACCCUCUGAUCCGAUCCACCUCUGAUUGCUGGUGUAAAGCCUGAGUGCUCUGCCAGCUUGGUCGCAGUUCUGUUGUGUGUCACUCCUGCAAUGCAGGCAGGGACAGGCCAUGGGCACUGCUGGGACAUAACCAAGCUCCAAAAGGAAAGGGGAUCUCCUCAGGGCAGUGCCUGAAGGUUCAAGUGUUCUUUCAAAGUUGCUGCCAAGAACAACCUCCAGGAAGUUUCCUGCUGCAUAUAGCACCACUGAAGAGCUGAAGUUGGUGACUGUACAGGACGAGGGCACACAGCCCUGUCCCUUCCACAGCCAGGCCUCCAUGAAUACUCUUGAAGGACCAACAGUGACCAAAAUAGUCUGGUCUAUGACCCUAUUUUCUGGGCCCCCUGCUCAAGGGGCCCCAGUGCACUCAUCACAGACCAGUCCCUUGCAAUCACUGUUCCCAGCACUGGUCUAUCUCUCCACCUCAUAAGGAUUGUUUGUCCCCCAUGGAGGAACAUCAAAUGAGCAUAUUUGCACUGUAAAGAAGAGAGUUAAGCA